rnacentral:rRNA from 1 species
CAAUAGCGUAUAUUUAAGUUGUUGCAGUUAAAAAGCUCGUAGUUGGAUUUCGGAUGGGACUUGCCGGUCCGUCGUUUCGAUGUGCACUGGCCAGUCCUAUCUUUUUGUCGGGGACUAGCUCCUGGGCUUCACUGUCCGGGACUAGGAGCUGACGAGGUUACUUUGAGUAAAUUAGAGUGUUCAAAGCAAGCCUACGCUCUGAAUACAUUAGCAUGGAAUAACACGAUAGGACUCUGGCUUAUCUUGUUGGUCUGUGAGACCAGAGUAAUGAUUAAGAGGGACAGUCGGGGGCAUUCGUAUUUCAUUGUCAGAGGUGAAAUUCUUGGAUUUAUGAAAGACGAACUUCUGCGAAAGCAUUUGUCAAGGAUGUUUUCAUUAA